UGGGGGAAUUUUUGGGGCAAUGGGGCGAAAGCCUGACCCAGCGACGCCGCGUGAAGGAAGAAGGUCUUCGGAUUGUAAACUUCUGUCAACAGGGACGAAAACAAUGACGGUACCUGUGGAGGAAGCCACGGCUAACUACGUGCCAGCAGCCGCGGUAAUACGUAGGUGGCGAGCGUUAUCCGGAUUUACUGGGUGUAAAGGGUGUGUAGGCGGGGAAGCAAGUCAGAUGUGAAACUAUGGGCUUAACCCAUAAAGUGCAUUUGAAACUGUUUCUCUUGAGGAUCGGAGGGGUAAAUAGAAUUCCCGGUGUAGCGGUGAAAUGCGUAGAUAUCGGGAGGAAUACCGGUGGCGAAGGCGAUUUACUGGACGAUUACUGACGCUGAGACACGAAAGCGU
rnacentral:rRNA from 1 species